rnacentral:rRNA from 1 species
CGUUCCCGGGUCUUGUACACACCGCCCGUCACACCAUGGGAGCGGGUUUUACCAGAAGUAGGUAGCUUAACCGUAAGGAGGGCGCAUACCACGGUAGGAUUCGUGACUGGGGUG